UACGGAGGGUGCUAACGUUGUUCGGAAUUACUGGGCAUAAAGCGCACGUAGGCGGUCUGCUAAGUCGGUUGUGAAAGCCCCCGGCUCAACCGGGGAAUUGCGUUCGAUACUGGCAGGCUAGAGGACGGUUGGGGUGAGUGGAACUCCAGGUGGAGCGGUGAAAUGCGUAGAUAUCUGGAGGAACACCGGUGGCGAAAGCGGCUCACUGGACCGUAACUGACGCUAAUGUGCGAAAGCUAGGGGAGCAAACAGG
rnacentral:rRNA from 1 species